rnacentral:rRNA from 1 species
AUGGCAUCUCUUGAGCUCGACUCUACCCUAGCCCUCUGCCUCCUCUUUGUGGUAUCUUGCUUCACCGUCCUCCUCAGAGGCUUCGGAUAUGGCCGCCGGAGUGCGCAGCCGCCUUCGCCGCCUGGGCUGCCCAUCAUCGGCAACCUGCACCAGCUCGGGCGAGGCCGCCCUCACCGGACGCUGGAGGCUCUCGCGCGGCGCCACGGGCCGCUCAUGUUCCUCCGCCUCGGCUCCGUGCGGGCCAUCGUGGUCUCCUCGGCCUCGCUCGCCGAGGCGGUGCUCAGGACCCAGGACAACGUCUUCUGCAGCCGCCCGCAGCAGUACACGGCCCGGGGCACGCUCUACGGCCGCAGGGACGUCGGCUUCAGCGCCUACAGCGAGCGCUGGCGCCAGCUCCGCCGCAUCGCCGUGGUGCACCUCCUCAGCGUGAAGCGGGUCGACUCCUUCCGCGCCCUCCGGGAGGAGGAGGUGGCGCGCUUCGUGGAACGGGUCCGCGGCUGCCAGUGCCGCCCAGGAGGAUGGCGGCAAACGCCCGGGAGUCAACGUCACCGAGCUCAUAAUCACCCUAACCUACUCCGUGAUCUUGAGGGCGGCUUUCGGGCACAAACUUGGCGGCGUGGAGCCGGCCAAGGUCCGCGACAUGAUGAAGGAGCUCACUGA